UCCGUGAACCAGGCUUCGGUUAACACAGAAAGGCGCAGCGUCAGGCCGUUGCGGCUAUGACAGUAUGCCUUACUCGAGCUGAUUAGUCUUGCAUCAGCUACUGAGCGUUUAGAAACUGAUCUAGACGGAAGGUAAGAGUACUCAGGGUAGAAGGAGCGUAUCUGAGACACGAUGGCGAAGGCAUCUUACAGACGCUCGACAGGAGGACGAAAGCUGGGGGAGCGACGGGAUAGAUACCCCGUAGUCCAGCGUAACUAUGCGCGUUAGGUGUGCUGUACUACGAGUACCGGGGUGCGGAGGUGAAAACCGUGACACCGUCCCCCCUGGGAAGUACGGUCGCAAAGACAUGAAACUUAAAGGAAUGGCGGGGAGCACCACAACGGGUGGAGCUGCGGGUGUGGGUGGGCUCGCGCCGGGCAGCUCACGGAUAGGACAGCGGAAUGAUAGCCGGGCUGAAGACCUUGCUUGACCAGCUGAGAGGAGGUGCAUGGCCCGUCGUCAGUUCGUACUGUGAAGCAUCCUGUUUAGUAAAAGCAAAAGAGAGAGACCCACGCCAACAGUUGCUAGCAUGUUCUCCGGAAUGAUGAGGACACUGUUGGGACCGCCUCUGCUAAAGAGGAGGAAGGAAUGGGCAACGGUAGGUCAGCAUGCCCCGAAUUAUCCGGGCUACACGCGGGCUACAAUGGUCAGGACAAUGGGAAACGGCACUGAAAAGUGUAGUCAAUCUCCUAAACCUGUCCCAAGUUCGGAUUGUGGGCUACAACUCGCCCACAUGAAGCUGGAAUCCGUAGUAAUCGCGUUCAAGAUACCCCCGUGAAUAGCCCUCUCCUCCACCCG
rnacentral:rRNA from 1 species